rnacentral:tRNA from 1 species
GGGUUUGUGGCUCAGUGGUGGAGCGUUUGCCUUGCAUGCAUGAAGCUCUGGGUUCGAUCCUCAGCCCCA